rnacentral:rRNA from 1 species
GACGAACGCUGGCGGCGUGCUUAACACAUGCAAGUCGAACGGAAAGGCCCUGCUUUUGUGGGGUGCUCGAGUGGCGAACGGGUGAGUAACACGUGAGUAACCUGCCCUUGACUUUGGGAUAACUUCAGGAAACUGGGGCUAAUACCGGAUAGGAGCUCCUGCUGCAUGGUGGGGGUUGGAAAGUUUCGGCGGUUGGGGAUGGACUCGCGGCUUAUCAGCUUGUUGGUGGGGUAGUGGCUUACCAAGGCUUUGACGGGUAGCCGGCCUGAGAGGGUGACCGGCCACAUUGGGACUGAGAUACGGCCCAGACUCCUACGGGAGGCAGCAGUGGGGAAUAUUGCACAAUGGGCGGAAGCCUGAUGCAGCAACGCCGCGUGCGGGAUGACGGCCUUCGGGUUGUAAACCGCUUUCGCCUGUGACGAAGCGUGAGUGACGGUAAUGGGUAAAGAAGCACCGGCUAACUACGUGCCAGCAGCCGCGGUGAUACGUAGGGUGCGAGCGUUGUCCGGAUUUAUUGGGCGUAAAGGGCUCGUAGGUGGUUGAUCGCGUCGGAAGUGUAAUCUUGGGGCUUAACCCUGAGCGUGCUUUCGAUACGGGUUGACUUGAGGAAGGUAGGGGAGAAUGGAAUUCCUGGUGGAGCGGUGGAAUGCGCAGAUAUCAGGAGGAACACCAGUGGCGAAGGCGGUUCUCUGGGCCUUUCCUGACGCUGAGGAGUGAAAGCGUGGGGAGCGAACAGGCUUAGAUACCCUGGUAGUCCACGCUGUAAACGGUGGGUACUAGGUGUGGGGUCCAUUCCACGGGUUCCGUGCCGUAGCUAACGCUUUAAGUACCCCGCCUGGGGAGUACGGCCGCAAGGCUAAAACUCAAAGGAAUUGACGGGGCCCCGCACAAGCGGCGGAGCAUGCGGAUUAAUUCGAUGCAACGCGUAGAUCCUUACCUGGGUUUGACAUGGAUCGGGAGUGCUCAGAGAUGGGUGUGCCUCUUUUGGGGUCGGUCCACAGGUGGUGCAUGGCUGUCGUCAGCUCGUGUCGUGAGAUGUUGGGUUAAGUCCCGCAACGAGCGCAACCCUUGUUCACUGUUGCCAGCACGUUAUGGUGGGGACUCAGUGGAGACCGCCGGGGUCAACUCGGAGGAAGGUGGGGAUGACGUCAAGUCAUCAUGCCCCUUAUGUCCAGGGCUUCACGCAUGCUACAAUGGCUGGUACAGAGAGUGGCGAGCCUGUGAGGGUGAGCGAAUCUCGGAAAGCCGGUCUCAGUUCGGAUUGGGGUCUGCAACUCGACCUCAUGAAGUCGGAGUCGCUAGUAAUCGCAGAUCAGCAACGCUGCGGUGAAUACGUUCCCGGGGCU